GGCGGCGUGCCUAACACAUGCAAGUCGAACGAGAAAGUGGUAGCAAUACCAUGAGUAAAGUGGCGCACGGGUAAGUAACACGUGACCAAUCUACCCUUGAGUGGGGGAUAACCUCGGGAAACCGGGGCUAAUACCGCAUAAAAUCUUCGGGACGGAAGUGCUGAAGAUCAAAGGAGCAAUUCGCUUAAGGAGGAGGUCGCGGCUGAUUAGCUAGUUGGCGGGGUAAUGGCCCACCAAGGCAAAGAUCGGUAGCCGGCCUGAGAGGGCGCACGGCCACACUGGAACUGAAACACGGUCCAGACUCCUACGGGAGGCAGCAGUGGGGAAUUUUGCGCAAUGGGGGAAACCCUGACGCAGCAACGCCGCGUGGAGGAUGAAGUCCCUUGGGACGUAAACUCCUUUCGACCCGGACGAUAAUGACGGUACGGGUGGAAGAAGCCCCGGCUAACUUCGUGCCAGCAGCCGCGGUAAUACGAGGGGGGCAAGCGUUGUUCGGAAUUAUUGGGCGUAAAGGGCGCGUA
rnacentral:rRNA from 1 species